AUGGCUCAAGGUACAAUUACAGUAACUUCUCAAGAUGGCGCGAAUGUGAAUAUAGUUUUAUCAAUUGUGUUCAAUAAUGUGCAAUAUGCUGCUAGCACUUUAGAAAUUCAAGGUACAAGUCGUCAACGUGAUAAUUUAAGAGAGCUCGGCGUUGUUUCUGGAACAGGAAGGUUUCGUUUUGCAAGGGGAUUUGCUGUAUUUGAAACUAUAUCUUAUAAUCCUACAAGUACUCAGUCUAUUAUUAGGUUGACUGUAACCUUGACAAUACCUUGA